UUAGUCAAAGCCAAAAAGAGGCAUUUCAUUGUUAAUGAAAAAAAUGGGCGCCGCCCUGGCUAAA
rnacentral:tRNA from 1 species